rnacentral:lncRNA from 1 species
UCGAUACCUUGAUCUUAGUGAAGUUCAUAUGACAGUUUAUUUUAAUCUUUAGAAUAUCAUAACUUGUACUCUUUGAACUCGUUUAUCAUAUUUAAUAUUUAUUUCGAUUUUCGUAGUGAUGUACAUGUUAGUAUAUUUUUGGAGACUUGUGUUGAUGAUUCGUUUGAUUUAACAUGUACACGUUAGAAACCCUUUGAGUUGAUAUUGUGUCGCAUGUGUUGUGACAUGAUAUUUUUGUUAGAAUACCGUAGGGUAUACCUGAGCUAUAACCACCUGUGGGGGUACCACAGACAUGUCCUCUUGGCACCGAGGCAUGACACCUUCCGUGGCGGUGUGAUUAGUCCACGGCGUCUCCGUUUGGUGCUCCGUUGGGAGUUGGCCAUUUGGUGUUUUGUUGUGGGAGGCGUAUGGGUCGACCCUAGUUUUCUGUUCUGUUCUGUUCUGCGGAUUGGUGAUGUUUGUGCCAAACACACCUUCCGAUUUUACAUGAAUUGGAUUCGCGGUCCAACGUGUGUGAUUUGCCUGUGUGACAUUAUUUGAUUUGCCUGUGUGGCAUUAUUUGACUUGCCUGUGUGGCAAGGUAUAUUUCUGUUAUGUUCUGAGCUCGGUAUGAAAUAACAACCAGCCAUUUGAUUCAGCCUAUUAUUUCGUUGUGUUAGUUUUGUUCGUUUCGUCUUAUUUCAUUAAAUUGAGUUAGUUAUUUCGAUUCAUUAGUCGUAUUCUAUAU